rnacentral:rRNA from 1 species
AGGACGAACGCUGGCGGCGUGCUUAACACAUGCAAGUCGAGCGGUAAGGCCCUUUGGGGUACACGAGCGGCGAACGGGUGAGUAACACGUGAGCAAUCUGCCCUUCACUUUGGGAUAACCUCCGGAAACGGUGGCUAAUACCGAAUGCGACUGCCGGCUGCAUGGUCUGGUGGUGGAAAGUUUUUGCGGUGGGGGAUGAGCUCGCGGCCUAUCAGCUUGUUGGUGAGGUAAUGGCUCACCAAGGCUUCGACGGGUAGCCGGCCUGAGAGGGUGACCGGCCAACGACUGGGACUGAGACACGGCCCAGACUCCUACGGGAGCAGCAGUGGGGAAUAUUGGACAAUGGGCGAAGCCUGAUCCAGCAACGCCGCGUGAGGGAUGACGGCCUUCGGUUGUAAACCUCUUUCAGCGGGCGAAGUUUUGUCUUUUUUGGCGAAGGUGACGGUACCGCGAGAAGAAGCACCGGCCAACGUACGUGCCAGCAGCCGC